UACGAAGGGGGCUAGCGUUGCUCGGAAUCACUGGGCGUAAAGGGCUCGUAGGUGGCCAACUAAGUCAGACGUGAAAUCCCUCGGCUUAACCGGGGAACUGCGUCUGAUACUGGACGGCUUUGAGUUUGGGAGAGGGACGCGGAAUUCCAGGUGUAGCGGUGAAAUGCGUAGAUAUCUGGAGGAACACCGGUGGCGAAGGCGGCGUCCUGGACCAACACUGACACUGAGGAGCGAAAGCGUGGGUAGCAAACAGG
rnacentral:rRNA from 1 species